GCUCCGUUAGUAUAAUGGUCAGUACACCUCACUUUCUAUGAGGGAAUAGGGGUUCGAUUCCCCUACGGAGUA
rnacentral:tRNA from 1 species